CCUACGGGUGGCAGCAGUGGGGAAUAUUGCGCAAUGGGCGAAAGCCUGACGCAGCGACGCCGCGUGAGGGAUGAAGGUCUUCGGAUCGUAAACCUCUGUCAGCAGGGAAGAACGGUCACUGUGCUAAUCAGCAGUGAAUUGACGGUACCUGCAAAGGAAGCACCGGCUAACUCCGUGCCAGCAGCCGCGGUAAUACGGAGGGUGCGAGCGUGAAUCGGAAUUACUGGGCGUAAAGCGCUCGUAGGCGGUAUGUCAAGUCAAGGGGGAAAUCCCCGCGCUCAACGUGGGAACUGCCUUUGAAACUGGCAAACUGGAGUGUGUGAGAGGAUAGUGGAAUUCCAGGUGUAGGAGUGAAAUCCGUAGAUAUCUGGAAGAACAUCAGUGGCGAAGGCGACUAUCUGGCACAUAACUGACGCUGAGGAGCGAAAGCGUGGGUAGCAAACAGGAUUAGAUACCCCAGUAGUC
rnacentral:rRNA from 1 species